rnacentral:rRNA from 1 species
UACGUAGGGUCCGAGCGUUGUCCGGAUUCAUUGGGCGUAAAGAGCUCGUAGGCGGCUGCUCAAGUCGAAUGUGAAAACUCGAGGCUCAACCUCGAGCCUGCAUUCGAUACUGGGCGGCUAGAGUCUGGUAGGGGGAUCUGGAAUUCCUGGUGUAGCGGUGGAAUGCGCAGAUAUCAGGAGGAACACCGGUGGCGAAGGCGCCACUCUGGGCCGAAACUGACGCUGAGGAGCGAAAGCGUGGGUAGCAAACAGG